UUCUUUCUUCAGCAUGAAUUGAAACUUCAACUGAUAGAGCAACAGAUAAAAGAUAAAGAAAAUGAGCUUCAGCUUAUGCUAUAUCUUAGACUUGCGGGAAAACAAAAGAAUCUUAAAGAGCACUUCUUGCUUGAUCUACAGUUAAAAGUUAUUGCUAAAAAUGGUGAAAAAAGUGUUGAAGGAAAUCAACGAGUUUAUGAAGUAAUUAGA